rnacentral:rRNA from 1 species
AUACGUAGGGGACGAGCGUUGUCCGGAAUCAUUGGGCGUAAAGGGCGCGCAGGCGGCGAGGCAAGUCCGGUGUGAAAGUGCUCGGCUCAACCGAGUGAUGCGCUGGAAACUGCCCUGCUUGAGUACAGGAGGGGACGUCGGAAUUCCAGGUGUAGGGGUGAAAUCUGUAGAUAUCUGGAAGAACACCGGUGGCGAAGGCGGACGUCUGGCCAUGUACUGACACUGAGGCGCGAAGGUGCGGGGAGCGAACAGGUUUAGAUACCCUGGUAGUCCGCACAGUAAACGAUGUGCACCAGGUGGCGGGGGGUAGCCCUCGGUACCGAAGCCAACGCAUUAAGUGCACCGCCUGGGGAGUAUGCUCGCAAGGGUGAAACUCAAAUGAAUUGGCGGGG